rnacentral:rRNA from 1 species
AAUUAAGGGCGUACGGUGGAUGCCUUGACUUUUAGAGGCGAUGAAGGACGCGACAAGCUGCGAUAAGCUUCGGGGAGAUGCACAUAAUCUGUGAUCCGAAGAUUUCCGAAUGGGGCAACCCAGCUGGUUGAAGACCAGUUAUCCCGAUUUAUCGGGAAGCUAACCCGGAGAACUGAAACAUCUAAGUACCCGGAGGAAGAGAAA